GCUUACGGCCAUACCACCCUAACACGCCCGAUCUCGUCCGAUCUCGGAAGCUAAAGCAGGUCGGGCCUGGUUAGUACUUGGAUGGGAGACCGCCUGGGAAUACCAGGUGCUGUAAGCU
ensembl:rRNA 5S_rRNA 5S ribosomal RNA